AGCGUACACGGUGGAUGCCCUGGCAGUCAGAGGCGAUGAAGGACGUGCUAAUCUGCGAAAAGCGUCGGUAAGGUGAUAUGAACCGUUAUAACCGGCGAUGUCCGAAUGGGGAAACCCAGUGCAAUUCGUUGCACUAUCGUUAACUGAAUACAUAGGUUAACGAGGCGAACCGGGGGAACUGAAACAUCUAAGUACCCCGAGGAAAAGAAAUCAACCGAGAUUCCCCCAGUAGCGGCGAGCGAACGGGGAGCAGCCCAGAGUCUGAAUCAGCUUGUGUGUUAGUGGAACGGUCUGGAAAGUCCGACGGUACAGGGUGAUAGUCCCGUACACCAAAAUGCACAGGUUGUGAACUCGAAGAGUAGGGCGGGACACGUGGUAUCCUGUCUGAAUAUGGGGGGACCAUCCUCCAAGGCUAAAUACUCCUGACUGACCGAUAGUGAACCAGUACCGUGAGGGAAAGGCGAAAAGAACCCCGGCGAGGGGAGUGAAAAAGAACCUGAAACCGUGUACGUACAAGCAGUGGGAGCACCUUCGGGUGUGACUGCGUACCUUUUGUAUAAUGGGUCAGCGACUUAUAUUCUGUAGCAAGGUUAACCGUAUAGGGGAGCCGCAGGGAAACCGAGUCUUAACUGGGCGUUAAGUUGCAGGGUAUAGACCCGAAACCCGGUGAUCUAGCCAUGGGCAGGUUGAAGGUUGGGUAACACUAACUGGAGGACCGAACCGACUAAUGUUGAAAAAUUAGCGGAUGACUUGUGGCUGGGGGUGAAAGGCCAAUCAAACCGGGAGAUAGCUGGUUCUCCCCGAAAGCUAUUUAGGUAGCGCCUCGUGAACUCAUCUUCGGGGGUAGAGCACUGUUUCGGCUAGGGGGUCAUCCCGACUUACCAACCCGAUGCAAACUACGAAUACCGAAGAAUGUUAUCACGGGAGACACACGGCGGGUGCUAACGUCCGUCGUGAAGAGGGAAACAACCCAGACCGCCAGCUAAGGUCCCAAAGUCAUGGUUAAGUGGGAAACGAUGUGGGAAGGCACAGACAGCCAGGAUGUUGGCUUAGAAGCAGCCAUCAUUUAAAGAAAGCGUAAUAGCUCACUGGUCGAGUCGGCCUGCGCGGAAGAUGUAACGGGGCUAAACCAUGCACCGAAGCUGCGGCAGCGACACUAUGUGUUGUUGGGUAGGGGAGCGUUCUGUAAGCCUGCGAAGGUGUGCUGUGAGGCAUGCUGGAGGUAUCAGAAGUGCGAAUGCUGACAUAAGUAACGAUAAAGCGGGUGAAAAGCCCGCUCGCCGGAAGACCAAGGGUUCCUGUCCAACGUUAAUCGGGGCAGGGUGAGUCGACCCCUAAGGCGAGGCCGAAAGGCGUAGUCGAUGGGAAACAGGUUAAUAUUCCUGUACUUGGUGUUACUGCGAAGGGGGGACGGAGAAGGCUAUGUUAGCCGGGCGACGGUUGUCCCGGUUUAAGCAUGUAGGCUGRUURUCCAGGCAAAUCCGGAUAAUCAAGGCUGAGGUGUGAUGACGAGGCACUACGGUGCUGAAGUAACAAAUGCCCUGCUUCCAGGAAAAGCCUCUAAGCAUCAGGUAACAUYAAAUCGUACCCCAAACCGACACAGGUGGUCAGGUAGAGAAUACCAAGGCGCUUGAGAGAACUCGGGUGAAGGAACUAGGCAAAAUGGUGCCGUAACUUCGGGAGAAGGCACGCUGGUGUGUAGGUGAAGUCCCUGCGGAUGGAGCUGAGACCAGUCGAAGAUACCAGCUGGCUGCAACUGUUUAUUAAAAACACAGCACUGUGCAAACACGAAAGUGGACGUAUACGGUGUGACGCCUGCCCGGUGCCGGAAGGUUAAUUGAUGGGGUUAUCCGUAAGGAGAAGCUCUUGAUCGAAGCCCCGGUAAACGGCGGCCGUAACUAUAACGGUCCUAAGGUAGCGAAAUUCCUUGUCGGGUAAGUUCCGACCUGCACGAAUGGCGUAAUGAUGGCCAGGCUGUCUCCACCCGAGACUCAGUGAAAUUGAACUCGCUGUGAAGAUGCAGUGUACCCGCGGCAAGACGGAAAGACCCCGUGAACCUUUACUAUAGCUUGACACUGAACAUUGAGCCUUGAUGUGUAGGAUAGGUGGGAGGCUUUGAAGCGUGGACGCCAGUCUGCGUGGAGCCAACCUUGAAAUACCACCCUUUAAUGUUUGAUGUUCUAACGUUGGCCCCUGACCGGGGUUGCGGACAGUGUCUGGUGGGUAGUUUGACUGGGGCGGUCUCCUCCCAAAGCGUAACGGAGGAGCACGAAGGUUAGCUAAUCCUGGUCGGACAUCAGGAGGUUAGUGCAAUGGCAUAAGCUAGCUUGACUGCGAGCGUGACGGCGCGAGCAGGUGCGAAAGCAGGUCAUAGUGAUCCGGUGGUUCUGAAUGGAAGGGCCAUCGCUCAACGGAUAAAAGGUACUCCGGGGAUAACAGGCUGAUACCGCCCAAGAGUUCAUAUCGACGGCGGUGUUUGGCACCUCGAUGUCGGCUCAUCACAUCCUGGGGCUGAAGUAGGUCCCAAGGGUAUGGCUGUUCGCCAUUUAAAGUGGUACGCGAGCUGGGUUUAGAACGUCGUGAGACAGUUCGGUCCCUAUCUGCCGUGGGCGCUGGAGAAUUGAGGGGGGCUGCUCCUAGUACGAGAGGACCGGAGUGGACGCAUCACUGGUGUUCGGGUUGUCAUGCCAAUGGCACUGCCCGGUAGCUAAAUGCGGAAGAGAUAAGUGCUGAAAGCAUCUAAGCACGAAACUUGCCCCGAGAUGAGUUCU
rnacentral:rRNA from 1 species